rnacentral:rRNA from 1 species
CAGUAGCCGCGGGAAUACGAAGGGUGCGAGCGUUAAUCGGAAUUACUGGGCGUAAAGCGUGCGUAGGCGGUUUGUUAAGUCUGUUGUGAAAUCCCCGGGCUCAACCUGGGAAUGGCAAUGGAUACUGGCAAGCUAGAGUGUGUCAGAGGAUGGUGGAAUUCCCGGUGUAGCGGUGAAAUGCGUAGAGAUCGGGAGGAACAUCAGUGGCGAAGGCGGCCAUCUGGGACAACACUGACGCUGAGGCACGAAAGCGUGGGGAGCAAACAGGAUUAGAUACCCGUGUAGUCCCUGUCUCUUAUAC